rnacentral:rRNA from 1 species
UAAUUCGACGAUAAGCGAAAAACCUUACCAAGGCUUGACAUAUAGCUGCAAACCCUAAGAAACUAGGGCUCCUAUGAGGGUGCUAUACAGGUGCUGCAUGGUUGCCGUCAGCUCGUGCCGUGAGGUGUACGGUUAAGUCCGGAAACGAGCGCAACCCCUAUCCUAAUUUAUACUUUAUUAGGAAACUGCCUCGGAUAACGGGGAGGAAGGUGGGGAUGACGUCAAAUCAGCAUGGCUCUUACGCCUUGGGCUACACACAUGAUACAAUGGCCAGUACAAAGGGCUGCGAAGCCGUAAGGUGAAGCUAAUCCCAUCAAAACUGGUCUCAGUUCGGAUUGAGGUCUGAAACUCGACCUCAUGAAGCUGGAAUCGCUAGUAACCGUGAAUCAGCCACGUCACGGUGAAUAUGUUCCUGGGUCUUGUACUCACCGCCCGUCAACUCAUGGAAGGCAGGAGCGCCCGAAGCACCCUUACUCUUCGGAGGGGGUACCACGGAGAGACUGCUGACUGGGAGUAAGUCGUAACAAGAUAUCCGUAGGAGAACCUGCGGAUGGAACACUUCCUUAC